CAGGUUGACCGGGGGAUCGCGGCGUUACGACGCUGAGGAAAGUCCGCACUCCGUAGAGCACGGUGCUGGCUAACGGCCAGGCGGGGCAACCCGACGGCAAGUGCAACAGAGAGCAUAUUGCGUCGCAGUGCGGCGCGAGGGUGAAAAGGUGCGGUAAGAGCGCACCGGCG
rnacentral:RNase_P_RNA from 1 species